UGGGGAAUUUUGGACAAUGGGGGCAACCCUGAUCCAGCCAUGCCGCGUGAGUGAAGAAGGCCUUCGGGUUGUAAAGCUCUUUCGGCGGGGACGAAACGGUCCGUGACAACACCACGGACUAAUGACAGUACUCGCAGAAGAAGCACCGGCUAACUACGUGCCAGCAGCCGCGGUAAUACGUAGGGUGCAGGCGUUAAUCGGAAUUACUGGGCGUAAAGCGUGCGCAGGCGGCUCCUUAAGUCAGAUGUGAAAUCCCCGGGCUUAACCUGGGAACUGCGUUUGAAACUGAGGGGCUAGAGUGUGGAAGAGGGGGGUGGAAUUCCAGGUGUAGCAGUGAAAUGCGUAGAGAUCUGGAGGAACACCGAUGGCGAAGGCAGCCCCCUGGGCUAACACUGACGCUCAUGCACGAAAGCGUGGGGAGCAAACAGGAUUAGAUACCCGAGUAUCCCUGAGCGGGCUGGCAAGGCGCAU
rnacentral:rRNA from 1 species